UACGUAGGGGGCGAGCGUUGUCCGGAUUCAUUGGGCGUAAAGCGCGCGCAGGCGGUUGGGAGAGCCCGGCGUGAAAGCCCCCAGCUCAACUGGGGGAGGCCGUCGGGGACCUUCCGACUGGAGGCCGGUAGGGGCGAGCGGAAUUCCCGGUGUAGUGGUGGAAUGCGUAGAUAUCGGGAGGAAUACCAGUGGCGAAGGCGGCCUUCUGGACGGAUACUGACGCUGAGGCGCGAAAGCCAGGGGAGCAAACGGG
rnacentral:rRNA from 1 species